rnacentral:rRNA from 1 species
AUUGAACGCUAGCGGGAUGCCUUACACAUGCAAGUCGAACGGCAGCGCGGACUUCGGUCUGGCGGCGAGUGGCGAACGGGUGAGUAAUGUAUCGGAACGUGCCCAGUAGCGGGGGAUAACUACUCGAAAGAGUAGCUAAUACCGCAUACGCCCUACGGGGGAAAGGGGGGGAUCGCAAGACCUCUCACUAUUGGAGCGGCCGAUAUCGGAUUAGCUAGUUGGUGAGGUAAAGGCUCACCAAGGCGACGAUCCGUAGCUGGUUUGAGAGGACGACCAGCCACACUGGGACUGGGAAACGGCCCAGACUCCUACGGGAGGCAGCAGUGGGGAAUUUUGGACAAUGGGGGAAACCCUGAUCCAGCCAUUCCGCGUGUGCGAUGAAGGCCUUCGGGUUGUAAAGCACUUUUGGCAGGAAAGAAAUCGCAUCAAUUAAUACUUGGUGUGGAUGACGGUACCUGCAGAAUAAGCACCGGCUAACUACGUGCCAGCAGCCGCCGUAA